rnacentral:rRNA from 1 species
CCUACGGGGGGCUGCAGUCGAGAAUCAUUCACAAUGGGGGAAACCCUGAUGGUGCGACGCCGCGUGGGGGAAUGAAGGUCUUCGGAUUGUAAACCCCUGUCAUGUGGGAGCAAAUUAAAAAGAUCGUACCACAAGAGGAAGAGACGGCUAACUCUGUGCCAGCAGCCGCGGUAAUACAGAGGUCUCAAGCGUUGUUCGGAAUCACUGGGCGUAAGGCGUGCGUAGGCUGUUUCGUAAGUCGUGUGUGAAAGGCGCGGGCUCAACCCGCGGACGGCACAUGAUACUGCGAGACUAGAGUAAUGGAGGGGGAACCGGAAUUCUCGGUGUAGCAGUGAAAUGCGUAGAUAUCGAGAGGAACACUCGUGGCGAAGGCGGGUUCCUGGACAUUAACUGACGCUGAGGCACGAAGGCCAGGGGAGCGAAAGGGAUUAGAUACCCGAGUAGUC